GACGAACGCUGGCGGCGUGCUUAACACAUGCAAGUCGAACGGAAAGGCCCUGCUUUUGUGGGGUGCUCGAGUGGCGAACGGGUGAGUAACACGUGAGUAACCUGCCCUUGACUUUGGGAUAACUUCAGGAAACUGGGGCUAAUACCGGAUAGGAGCUCCUGCUGCAUGGUGGGGGUUGGAAAGUUUCGGCGGUUGGGGAUGGACUCGCGGCUUAUCAGCUUGUUGGUGGGGUAGUGGCUUACCAAGGCUUUGACGGGUAGCCGGCCUGGGAGGGUGACCGGCCACAUUGGGACUGAGAUACGGCCCAGACUCCUACGGGAGGCAGCAGUGGGAAAUAGUGCACAAUGGGCGGAAGCCUGAUGCAGCAACGCCGCGUGCGGGAUGACGGCCUUCGGGUUGGAAACCGCUUUCGCCUGUGACGAAGCGUGAGUGACGGUAAUGGGUAAAGAAGCACCGGCUAACUACGU
rnacentral:rRNA from 1 species